rnacentral:rRNA from 1 species
AUUGAACGCUGGCGGCAGGCUUAACACAUGCAAGUCGAGCGAGCGGCGGACGGGUGAGUAAUGUCUGGGAAACUGCCUGAUGGAGGGGGAUAACUACUGGAAACGGUAGCUAAUACCGCAUACCAUAAGAUGGGCACAGAUGGGAUUAGCUAGUAGGUGGGGUAAUGGCUCACCUAGUCGACGAUCCCUAGCUGGUCGUAGAGGAUGACCGGCCACACUGGAACGGAGACACGUGCCAGCCGCCUCCGGGAGGCAGCAGUGGGUAAGAUUGCAUAAUGGGCGCAAGCCUGAUGCAGCCAGGCCGCGUGUGUGUAGAAGGCCUUCGGGUUGUAAAGCACUUUCAGCGAGGAGGCGUUACUCGCAGAAGAAGCACCGGCUAACUCCGUGCCAGCAGCCGCGGUAAUAC